rnacentral:rRNA from 1 species
CUCAGUAACGGCGAGUGAAGCGGCAACAGCUCAAAUUUGAAAUCUGGCGCAAGCCCGAGUUGUAAUUUGCAGAGGAUGUUUCGGGUGAAGCCACGGUCCAAGUCCCUUGGAACAGGACGUCAUAGAGGGUGAGAACCCCGUACCUGGCCGUCGGUGCCCCCCGCUGUGAAACUCCUUCGACGAGUCGAGUUGUUUGGGAAUGCAGCUCUAAAUUGGUGGUAAAUUCCAUCUAAAGCUAAAUACCGGCCAGAGACCGAUAGCGCACAAGUAGAGUGAUCGAAAGAUGAAAAGCACUUUGAAAAGAGAGUUAAAAAGUACGUGAAAUUGUUGAAAGGGAAGCGCUUGCGGCCAGACUUGCCCGCGGUUGCUCAGCCCGCCUUUUGGCGGGUGCACUCUUCCGCGGUCAGGCCAGCAUCGGUUUGGGCGGUCGGAUAAAGGCGUCGGGAACGUGGCCUCCCCUCGGGGAGGUGUUAUAGCCCGGCGCGCAAUGCGGCCAGCCCGGACCGAGGUUCGCGCUUUGCUAGGAUGCUGGCGUAAUGGCCGUAAGCGGCCCGUCUUGAAACACGGACCAAGGAGUCUAACAUCUAUGCGAGUGUUUGGGUGUCAAACCCGUGCGCGUAAUGAAAGUGAACGGAGGUGGGAACCGCAAGGUGCACCAUCGACCGAUCCUGAUGUCUUCGGAAGGAUUUGAGUAAGAGCAUAGCUGUUGGGACCCGAAAGAUGGUGAACUAUGCGUGAAUAGGGUGAAGCCAGAGGAAACUCUGGUGGAGGCUCGCAGCGGUUCUGACGUGCAAAUCGAUCGUCAAAUUUGCGUAUAGGGGCGAAAGACUAAUCGAACCAUUUGCAAACAGCAAUACUAGAUGGCCAAAGGGCGGAGAGCCUUAGUCCCCACGGGGGCCACACUGCCAAACUGCGGGGAACGCCCACAGCCGGACGCCACCGCCCCCCCGCCGCGAGGUGGGAGGGGCACCCCGUUUACUCGGGGGCAUGGUAACAGCGCGCCCGGCGGGUCGAUCCGCAGCCGUCCCCCGAUCCGUCGGGGGGUGGUUCACAGACUAGACGGCGGUGGGCGCGGCGAGCGCUUAAGAUAUAGUCGAU